GACGAACGCUGGCGGCGUGCUUAACACAUGCAAGUCGAACGGAAAGGCCCUGCUUUUGUGGGGUGCUCGAGUGGCGAACGGGUGAGUAACACGUGAGUAACCUGCCCUUGACUUUGGGAUAACUUCAGGACACUGGGGCUAAUACCGGAUAGGAGCUCCUGCUGCAUGGUGGGGGUUGGAAAGUUUCGGCGGUUGGGGAUGGACUCGCGGCUUAUCAGCUUGUGGGUGGGGUAGUGGCUUACCAAGGCUUUGACGGGUAGCCGGCCUGAGAGGGUGACCGGCAAAAUUGGGACUGAGAUACGGCCAAGAUUCCUACGGGAGGAAGCAGUGGGGAAUAUUGCACAAUGGGCGGAAGCCGGAUGCAGCAACGCCGCGGGCGGGAUGACGGCCUUCGGGUUGUAAACCGCUUUCGCCUGUGACGAAGCGUGAGUGACGGUAAUGGGUUAAGAAGCACCGGCUAACUACGUG
rnacentral:rRNA from 1 species